rnacentral:misc_RNA from 1 species
AGCCCCACCGCAACAAGUUGUCUUAUUUCGUCCUCGAAGGUUGAAAAUAUUGACUCUGAUCUUGGUGCUGGUGAAUUAGAAAUGUUGUAAGUUGCACGCCGGUUGUCAUCAAGCGCAGAUGUCUUUCUCCCCAAUUUACCUAGAAGACCCUUUCCUGAGAAGAGCUCUUCAGCCUUGUCCUGAUUAGUAGUAUCAAAAACGGAGGAACUACCCUCUACUUGCCCGU